rnacentral:rRNA from 1 species
UACGAAGGGGGCGAGCGUUGUUCGGAAUUACUGGGCGUAAAGGGCGCGCAGGCGGCUCUGAAAGUCAGAUGUGAAAGCCCCGGGCUUAACCUGGGAAUUGCAUUUGAUACUCUGGAGCUUGAGUGUGGGAGAGGAGAGUGGAAUUCCCAGUGUAGAGGUGAAAUGCGUAGAUAUCCGGAGGAAUACCAAAGGCGAAGGCAGUGUCCUGGGGAGUGUCUGACGCUCAGGCGCGAAAGCUAGGGGAGCGAACAGG